GGGAUUGUAGUUCAAUUGGUCAGAGCACCACCUAUCAAGGUGGAAGCUACGGGUUCGAGCCCCUCAGUCCUG
rnacentral:tRNA from 1 species